rnacentral:rRNA from 1 species
UCGAGCGAACAGACGAGGAGCUUGCUCCUCUGACGUUAGCGGCGGACGGGUGAGUAACACGUGGAUAACCUACCUAUAAGACUGGGAUAACUUCGGGAAACCGGAGCUAAUACCGGAUAAUAUAUUGAACCGCAUGGUUCAAUAGUGAAAGACGGUUUUGCUGUCACUUAUAGAUGGAUCCGCGCCGCAUUAGCUAGUUGGUAAGGUAACGGCUUACCAAGGCAACGAUGCGUAGCCGACCUGAGAGGGUGAUCGGCCACACUGGAACUGAGACACGGUCCAGACUCCUACGGGAGGCAGCAGUAGGGAAUCUUCCGCAAUGGGCGAAAGCCUGACGGAGCAACGCCGCGUGAGUGAUGAAGGUCUUCGGAUCGUAAAACUCUGUUAUUAGGGAAGAACAAAUGUGUAAGUAACUAUGCACGUCUUGACGGUACCUAAUCAGAAAGCCACGGCUAACUACGUGCCAGCAGCCGCGGUAAUACGUAGGUGGCAAGCGUUAUCCGGAAUUAUUGGGCGUAAAGCGCGCGUAGGCGGUUUUUUAAGUCUGAUGUGAAAGCCCACGGCUCAACCGUGGAGGGUCAUUGGAAACUGGAAAACUUGAGUGCAGAAGAGGAAAGUGGAAUUCCAUGUGUAGCGGUGAAAUGCGCAGAGAUAUGGAGGAACACCAGUGGCGAAGGCGACUUUCUGGUCUGUAACUGACGCUGAUGUGCGAAAGCGUGGGGAUCAAACAGGAU